GUGCUCACUUCAGUCAUACAUAUACUAAAGUUGAAAUGAUGCAGAGAAGAUUAGCAUGGUCCCUGCACGAGGUUAACACACAAAUUUGUGAAGCAUUCCAUGUUUUA
rnacentral:snRNA from 1 species